rnacentral:ncRNA from 1 species
UGAUACGCAUUGAAGGGAUGAAGUACCCGGCCCCCCGUCUUCAGAGAGCUUCCGGUUGGUGCAAGGAAGCAGGCGGCCCCGGUGAAAUACCUCCCGGAGCGGCCUGCCUGAAGAUGCAGUAGGGCAGGACGGGUCGGCCCGUUACAGCCCAGGCAUUGCCAGAUGCCGUAAGGGUCUCGCCGCGAGGUGUGACCGAAUCAGAGGUGGUACCGCGUGUUGACGCCCUCUGU